rnacentral:lncRNA from 1 species
GCAAUUGAGAUUUUAGUGCUUUUAUAUUUCAUGUGUUGAUUUUAAUGUUGUUCUUAAUACAUUUAAUUACUUGAUCACUAAUUAGAUGAUUUGUGAACAAUGAUUGCAUAGAGAUGCGGGUUAUUUGUUUAGACCACAUGUUAAAAUCCGGUAAAUUGAUAUAAUGUGUAGAGAUACCUAUAUUGAUUGAUGCGAUCAUGUGUGAAUUCUUAGAACCAAUGUUUCGUUUAAUUAAAUUUAAUUUGCAUAGAGAUAUGAAAUUAAACUAAUUAAAUAAGUUCAAUGAAAACUCGAGAGGGGUAAGUUGAAUACAAUAGAAGAAUUCGACCGAACACUACCUUAGGUUUUAUGAAUCUUGAUUUAUGAAGUAAAGGUGACUAAUAGGUGAAAUUGUUCCGCCCUAAUGUCCAUUUAUUGUUUGAAUUCUCAAUCACUUUACGUUAAAUCUAAUCGCAUUUUUAAGUUUUUAGAAUAAAAAUCACAUUUAAUCAUUGUUUUUUAUUUAUAUUCGUCAAAUAGUAGUUAAAGAAAGAUUAAAUUAAGUGUUAGAAAAUAAUCCUUGUGGGAUCGAUAACCGGACUCUUAGGUCCACUAUUACUUAUUACGGAUCGUACACUUGCGAAACAAAAUUUUACAACAAGUUUUUGGCGCCAUUGCCGGGGACUAUUUCUUUUCGUCUUAAUUUAUUUUUUUAUUUUGACUAUUAUUUGAUUAGUUUAUUUUUCUUUUAUUUACAGAAAUGUGUGUUCGUUGUAUGCUUCGUGCCCAAGGCGACGAUCUUGAACUAUUUGAUUCGGAGAUAGGACGUACCUUCAGAUGAAGACGCAAGGAACACAAACAAAAACAGCAACAUCAAAUGGCUGACAAUCAACAAAUCCAUAUCCCUACUCAGCCGAUUGGGCAAAUGGCCGCAAGAGUGGUGGCACCACCGGAACAAUAACAUGAACGAAGGGAAAUAAAUUAAGGGGAUUUGCCAGUAUCAAUGUUCCUGACACCUAUAGCAGCACCCAUGCGCUCCAGUAUCGUAUAUCCAGAUUUUGGGGUGAAUAACUUUCAGAUCAGGCCAGAUUGGAUUAACUUGAUGAGCAACACCUUGCAAUUCUACGGGUUACCUCCAGAGAAUCCAAACACGCAUAUUUCUAGAUUUCUCAGAAACUGACAGAACUUUCAAUCUCCGGGAGUCAAUGACGAUGCCAUUAAACUACGACUAUUCUCAUUUACAUUGAGAGAUGCUGCAUUGGAGUGGUUAGAUGCUGAGCCUCACGCUAGCAUUACUACAUGGGAAGAACUAAUCAGGAAGUUCUGUAAUAAAUUUUUCCCACCAGCGAGGGUAGCUAAAAUCAUAUUGGAAAUUCCAACUUUUCAACAAAAAGAAGGAGAAAGCUAUCACAAGGCAUGGAAUAGAUUUAAUGAGCUGAUGAGAAAAUGUCCGAACCAUGGAAUCACUCAAGGAAACCAAGUCCAGAACUUCUACACCAGACUUGCACCAUUGUCAAAAUCUCAAGUUGAUGCCUCUGCUGGUGGAUCAAUCAUAGGGAAAUCAGUGCAACAAACCAUGGACCUGUUUGAGUUGAUUGCCCCUACACAUUCAAUGUUCUCGUCGAAAAGAGUAGCGCCACCGAAGACAGGAGGAAUGUAUGAAUUAGACAACACAACAUAUACCAAUGCACAGAUAGCAGCUUUAACAAAACAGGUAGAGUUACUUGUAAAAUUGCAAACACAUGGAGCAAAUGCAAUGAUGGCCAGUUCAGUAUGUGAGAAUUGUGGGAGAAGUCACCCUACAGAGAGAUGCAUGAUGCUCACGUCUUCAGAGGAACAAGUAAACUUUAUUCAAAAUAGCUCCCGUAAUUUCAACUCAUAUGGUAACAAUUUCCAGCAAGAGAGAAGAACAAGUUUGGGAGAGAUGUUUCAACAAUAUGUGCAGAAGACAGACAAGGUGUUUCAACAAAUAGACACGAACUUUCAAAAUCAACAGGCAUCCAUCAAGAAACUGGAGAUACAAAUUGGUCAGAUAGCAGAACAACUUGCAGAACGUCCACAAGGCACAUUGCCAAGCAAUACAAUGAUAAAUCCUAAGGAACGGUUGAUGGCAAUUGAAAUAGUGGAGAACGAUCUACCCAGGGCCUCCGUAAAAGUUAAAGCAUAUGUACCUCCACUUUCGUUUCCCCAAAGACUUCGAAAGAAGUCGAUAGAGCAAAAUAUUCAUGUCAUAAAUACAAAGAGCGAGGUACAAUCACCAGAGAUCACUAUAAAGAGACCCGAAAGAAAAGAUGACCAAGAAGUGAUUGAUGAAGCUACAAGGGUAGAAAAAUCUGCACCAAAUGCAACUGAAAAUAGAGAAGGUACGAAACAUCAGUUGCCAACGCACCAAGUCUAGACAAAGCUUACAUGCCUCCCAUUCCCUUUCCUCAAACGCUCAAGAAGAACAAACAAGACACAAACUAUGAAAAAUUUCUCGAUGUUCUCAAGAAGCUCCAGAUCAAUGUUCUGUUCAUAGAUGCGAUACUACAAAUUCCAAGCUAUAAGAAAUUUUUUAGAGAGAUGUUGACAAAGAAAAGAAAGCUUCCAGAGUUUGAAACUGUGGCAUUAACUGAGGAAAGUAGUGCAAGAGUCCAGAAAAAAUUACCUCCUAAAUUGAAGGAUCCAGGGAGUUUUACUUUACCAGUUUCAAUUGGAAAUUCCUAUUCAACUAAUGCAUUGUGUGACACUGGUGCUAGUAUCAAUCUAAUGUCGUAUUCUGCUUACAGGAAAUUGGGACUAAUUGAAGUCAACUCAACAUCAAUAACGCUACAACUCGCUGAUAGAACAAUCACAAGGCCACGUGGCAAAGUUGAGGAUGUACUCGUCAAAGUAGGAAAUUUAAUAUUUCCUGUGGAUUUCAUUGUAUUGGACAUACCAGAAGAUCGAGACAUUCCAAUUAUAUUGGGUCGACCAUUCUUAGCAACCGGAUGAACUCUUAUUGAUAUGGAGAAGGGAGAACUAAUCUUGAGGGUGGAGGACGAGCAGGAGAUAUUCAAUAUUUACAUCCAAUAUGAGAAACCUCCCAAUAAAAAUGAUUGCUAUAGAAUUGAUGAAAAAGAGCCACCUGAUCAACGAAACUGUCAGAAUAAAACAACAAAUUUUGGAGAACUUCUUGGUAGAGACAAGAAUAGACAAAUCAAAAUUUGGAGAGCAAAAAAGAAUUGCAUCAAUGAAAAUUGCACAGAGUCCAAUGAUGGAAUAACUUGGUUUGAGCCACCAUGAUAAACCAGCGGCACAAGUCAAGCUAAUGACUUAAAAGAAGCGCUUCUUGGGAGGCAACCCAAACUUUUAUUUUAUUUUAUUUAUUUUGUUUUCAAAGUUCUAAGAUAGUUUAAUUUAUAGCUUAUUUAGGAAUCAUCACCCAUACACCUUCUACCCAUAGGUCUUGGAGUAAUUAAGUUGGUUAUUAGAUGUUUGAGCUAAGUAAUCCUUGUUCCAUGAGUUUAAUUUUUCAAAUUUAAUUUUUUUAGAAACAUGACGUCGCGGAACACUCAAACCAACAUGGACAUGGAGAAAAUGGGACAAAUCUCAAGUUUGGGGGAAAAUGUAAAAGAAGAGUCCAUCAAAUGUAACACCAAGACACAACAACAUCAUAGGCAAUACUGACAUUUCAGGGAAGUCCUCCUCCUUUUCCUUUAAAUUUCACAUUGAAGACAAUGUUUCAGUUAAGUUUGGGGGAGUGACAUCAUUUGCUUACAUUGUUGAGUUUCUCGAAUGCUUAUGUGUGAUUUGGUUGUUUUAUGUGUUUGUGUUUUUAUUCAAAAAAAAAAAAAUCAUUUCGUGUUUUUGCAUGCUUGUGUGUGUUAGAUAACCUUGCCAGUAUUGAUAUGUGUAAUUGAAAGCAUGCGUUGAUUUAUGAAUUGUGGACGAGUUAUGUGUUUGAGUUAGAUUUUUGCUUAUUCAUGUGAAACGAAAAUUAUUUUUUGCACGUGAGUUGAUUGAAGCGUUGUGCAUGAGUAUGUUGAUUUACGUUUAUAGGUUGAAAUAGAGAACUUAGAUGCUAAACUCAAACAACCAUUAAACAUCACAAUACCCUUAAAUCACAUUUAGGAUGUUUGGAUGAUUGCACUGUUGUAGGAAAACUUGAAGAUAAAUGUGGAUUUCGUGUGUGUUAAUUUUUGUGUGCUGAGACUAAUGGGAUGAAAAUUGGGUAAAAACCUUAAGUUAGAGGUCGAUUUUCGAGGAUAGUUGUUUAAUAAGGGGCAUUGCACUAAUCACCGCAUAAUAAAAAAAAAAAAAAAAAAAGAGAUCCCAAUGAGGACAACUUUAAUAAUCUCAUUGUGAAUCGUCUCUUCGUAGCCUUUAUGACUCGAGUGAUUAAGCCUGUAAGGGUUUAAAACCUGGUGCUCUAAAGUUAUCUGAUUUGGGAGUCAUCGGCCUAAAACUCGCUACAGGGGUCAUUUAGAUAGCUUAAGGGAGAGACGUCCGCAAAAAGGGUGAUUAAAGAAUAAAGAUACAUGUGAAGAAAAAAAUUAAUCAAAAAAAAAAAACAAAGAGAAAAAAAAAUAGAUAUCAAAUGCCUUGAUUAAGCCCCGAGCACUUAUUUUAGAAGAUUAGACCUUUGAUAAGGGGUAAGUAUCUUGGUUGAUUCCUAGAGGUUGAAGCAGUCAAAAAUAAGGAGAAUCCUCAUUUGUUGACAUGUGGAACUACAAUCAGUAAAAUCUAACCAAACUUGAGUGGUGUAAGAAAUUAGUAUUGAAGAUUUAACCUGAGGUUACACCCUUGGAAAGAGAAAAGAAAAAAGUUUGGGGGUGUGUGAAUCCCACGAGCAAAGUAAGGAAAAAUUUGACUUCUAAAGUCGGGAAUUGGGUCAACUUAUUAUUGUACAACAUUGCACUUGACUCUCCACACACACACACCCGUUAUGCAUUGAAUAGACGAGAAUUUAACUUUUGCAAUAUAGUUUUGAAGUGGUUCAUGGAAUUGAAGUUAUGUUUUUAAUUCUCAGACAUGAAGGCAAGCUAUCUAGCGAAAUUUAUUUUAAGUGAUUUUGUUUGUCUUGGUUGUACUUGUGUGUCCAUUAAUUAUUUUUAUGGGUCUUGGUGUUUUCUCGAGGACAAGCAAAAGAUUAAGUUUGGGGGUGUUUGAUGAGUGAUUUACACUCAUUAUAUGAUGCCAUUAAUUUCAUGAUUUUGCUAUCUUGGAGAGUAUUUUAGAAGUGCUAACAAGUGAUUUUGGUGUUGUUUUGUAGAUUGAUGGAAAUGGAGAAAACUAGAGCUAAAAGAGGUCAAAUGAAGGAAAUAGGCAAAAACUAGCGAAAUUGGAUGAAAUGACCAAAACGUAAGAGAUCCAAAGUUCGAGGAUUAAAAUACAAUUAAUCAAAAGUUGUGUCGAAACUUGAAAUGAAGAUCCGAGAGUUCUAGAAGCCAAUUAGACAAAGGAAGGUGUCAAAGAGAUCAAAUUUAGUCAAGAUAUGAUCAUAAAUCAUUUUCCAACCAAAAAGUUUUGCGCCGGAGUUUUCGUCUCACAUUUAGACUCAUUUUUGACAUAGAAAACGAUCGAAUUAGAUAAUGAUUCCUAAAGCAAAAUUGUAGUCCUUUGAAUUAACUUUCCAACGCAUCUUGAAUCACUUCAAUCGGAUAUCGAACGAAAAAGUUAUGAUAAAAAUACUGAAAGCUGUCCAGUGCAACCGAAGUAGUCCUCAGCGCCCAGGCGCUAUCCCUCAGCGCCUAGGCGCCAUGAUGCUGAAAUUUUGACAGAAAGUCGGCGCCUAGGCACCGCCGUGCGAGAGUAAUUUUUUUAGAUUUUUACCAUUCUUUUUCGGCCCAACUCAUCUCCAAAUCUUUCCCUAAACUCCAAGACAAUAUAAACACAGGAUUGAAGACCUAAAUGGGAGGGGAGCUGCACACUAAAAUCUAUGGGAUCAAGCCACGCGUUCUUGACAUAUUGGAGAGAAAAACAACAAGAAGGGAGAUUCAAAGGAGAAAAUUAAGAAGAUUAACACCAAGAAUUGAAGAUUGGAAGCACUCAUUGGAAGAAGAAGGAGAUCUUGGUGCAAAAAUUUCACUUUUUCUUCUACACCUUUAUUUCAAACUCGGUGAUGUAUUCUAAGACAAUCUCCUAUUUUUCUUCCGUUAUUAUGAGUAGUUAAAUUUCAAUUUAGGGCGAACAAUGUAAUCUUUUGGAACCCUUUAUUUCAUGCAAUUGAGAUUUUAGUGCUUUUAUAUUUCAUGUGUUGAUUUUAAUGUUGUUCUUAAUACAUUUAAUUACUUGAUCACUAAUUAGAUGAUUUGUGAAAAAUGAUUGCGUAGAGAUGCGGGUUAUUUGUUUAGACCACAUGUUAAAAUCUGAUAAAUUGAUAUAAUGUGUAGAGAUACCUAUAUUGAUUGUUGCGGUCAUGUGUGAAUUCUUAGAACCAAUGUUUCGUUUAAUUAAAUUUAAUUUGCAUAGAGAUAUGGAAUUAAACUAAUUAAAUACGCUCAAUGAAAACUCGAGAGGGAUAAGUUGAAUACAAUAGAAGAAUUCGACCGAACACUACCUUAGGUUUUAUGAAUCUUGAUUUAUGAAGUAAAGGUGACCAAUAGGUGAAAUUGUUCCGCCCUAAUGUCCAUUUAUUGUUUGAAUUCUCAAUCACUUUACGUUAAAUCCAAUCGCAUUUUUAAGUUUUUAAAAUAAAAAUCACAUUUAAUCAUUGUUUUUCAUUUAUAUUCAUCAAAUAGUAGUUAAAGAAAGAUUAAAUUAAGUGCUAGAAAAUAAUCCUUGUGGGAUCGAUAACCGGACUCUUAGGUCCACUAUUACUUAU